AAGUCCCACGUCUACCUCACAUUUGUCAUUUCGGCGUCCCGAACUCCGGUCACCGAUGCCACUCCAUGACCAAGUGACUUCUUCCUGAAACCUCGCUGGCGGCCAUGGCGAAGGCGAAGGCACCGAGGCCGAAGCCGCCGCGGGCAGCCAGCCGACGACUCCUCGGUAUUGGCGGGCUAGGCAUCGCAGCGGCGGCGUACGUGGGCGUGGACUACCUGCGGUACCUGUCGCCGGCGUGGCACGACCGGCUGCAGCCGGCGCUCUGGGCGGCGCUGGCGCUCGCCGCCGCCGCGCGGGCCCCGUUCUACCGCCACUGGGCAGCCGAGCUGCGCGCCGCGCUUCCCUUCCUCGGCUCCAUCGCCUUCAUGCUCGCCGCCUUCCUCUGCGAGGCCAUCUCCGUCCGCUUCGUCUCCGCCGUCAUGGGGCUCCAGUGGCACAGAUCUGCUGCUCCGCUUCCUGACACUGGUCAAUGGCUGCUUCUGUCAUUGAAUGAGAAGCUUCCUCAAAGCGUGGUUGAUCUACUGAGAGCUCAUGUUAUCACUCUUCACCAUUACUUGAUGUUGUUUAUCAUGCUGGGGUUCUCAGUGCUGUUUGACUGCAUCAAAGCUCCUGGCCUUGGUAUAGCCACAAGAUAUAUGUUCACUAUGGCAAUUGGUCGUUUGCUUCGGACGAUAACAUUUAUUGCUACUAUUCUUCCAUCUGCAAGACCUUGGUGUGCUGCAGCUCGUUAUCGAAUACCUGAGCAUCCUCACCCUUGGGCACAAAAAUAUUAUGUUCCAUAUGCUUCUGACUCAAACGCUAUUCGUAGGGUCAUAACGGAUGAUAUGGCCUAUGCUGCUGUUCAAGCUUACCCAGGUGAAUAUAGGCCUGAUUGGGGACGGAUGAGCUUCCUAGUGGACAUUUUGAGACCAACUCUUGGAGAAGGGCCAUCAUGGUACCAUUUGUUGAAGAAAGCUAGUGGUGGUUGCAAUGAUCUUAUGUACAGUGGACACAUGCUUGUUGCUGUUCUUACUGCAAUGGCGUGGACGGAAGCAUACGGGGGCUGGAUAUCCGUCGCGAUAUGGAUUCUCGUCCUACACAGUGCACAAAGGGAGAUACGCGAACGGCACCACUACAGCGUGGACUGCAUCGUGGCGAUCUACGUUGGUGUCCUCUUGUGGCGAAUGACAGGUUUCAUCUGGUCUGCCAGAGACGCCAGCCGAGCCAGAAGGCUUGCCAAGCUUGAUGAGGUCCAGAGCAGGCUGAUCCAUGCUGCCAAGGACUCGAACAUCGACGAGAUCAGGGGCCUGCUGAAGGAGGUCGAGCUGGCUAGCCAAGAAAGGCAGGGAUUCUCGCAGAGGGCGAUCCUGGCCUUCGCCGCUGUGACAAUCAUGUUCACAUUGUCAUGUGUUCUCCUUGCCUUCACAAUGACCAGCGACGGUUGAUUUGAGUUUUGUCGGGAACCCCUGGAUCUGAAUGUUGGCCGAUUUUCCCUGGGUCGCACUGCUGUUUUUCUACAGGAUGUGGUUGCCCAGUGUCAUUUGUUGCAGGAAACAUGUUCCUACAGAAGUGGAACUUGAGUUUAGUGGCGUCAAAAUUCAUAGAUGUUUUGCAGCUGCACGAGAAGCUGAUGAUUCUCGCUACCUUUUUGUGCCUGUAAUUGCUUGCCAACUACACAAGUACAGAGGUAGAAGUAGAACAGCAUGGUUUGCUGCUUUUCUUCGAGCGGAAUCGCGAAGGGAAAAAAAGAGAGAAUCUUAUCCUGAAAAGAAUGACCUUGAAAAUCCUGUUGUAACAGGAACUGUGAAGAAAAACUGUUGGAACGCUGAAGAGAACAAAAUCUCUUCAUGAUGAAAAUAUGACCCUUGAAAGGAAUCCCUUAGGCUAGCCUAAUGUUCGGGUGGACAUAGAGUUCCCUCGCGCACAUCCGAUCGAACAGCCCUCGUUUGUCGCCCUGUAAACUUUUUUAUUUAUAUGAUUUUUUCUAGGAUUUGCAAACACUAUGCUUCCAUUUUGAAAGUUUACAAAUCUAUCGCCCGUUGACGUUGAACAGGCGACAAGAACCUGUCACAUAGACAUGUCGUCGAGGUUCUUGUCGUCCGGUCGGGCGAUAGGAAUAUAUAUCUGUAAUAUUUCAAAAUGGAUAGACGUUUUUUCUA